GUGGGGAAUUUUGGACAAUGGGCGAAAGCCUGAUCCAGCAAUGCCGCGUGUGUGAAGAAGGCCUUCGGGUUGUAAAGCACUUUUGUCCGGAAAGAAAUCUGUCUGGCUAAUACCCGGACGGGAUGACGGUACCGGAAGAAUAAGCACCGGCUAACUACGUGCCAGCAGCCGCGGUAAUACGUAGGGUGCGAGCGUUAAUCGGAAUUACUGGGCGUAAAGCGUGCGCAGGCGGUGUUGUAAGACCGAUGUGAAAUCCCCGGGCUUAACCUGGGAACUGCAUUGGUGACUGCAAGGCUAGAGUGCGUCAGAGGGGGGUGGAAUUCCGCGUGUAGCAGUGAAAUGCGUAGAGAUGCGGAGGAACACCGAUGGCGAAGGCAGCCCCCUGGGAUGACACUGACGCUCAUGCACGAAAGCGUGGGGAGCAAACAGGAUUAGAUACCCCUGUAGUCC
rnacentral:rRNA from 1 species